rnacentral:rRNA from 1 species
UACGAAGGGGGCUAGCGUUGCUCGGAAUUACUGGGCGUAAAGGGAGCGUAGGCGGACUGUUUAGUCAGAGGUGAAAGCCCCGGGCUCAACCUGGGAAUGGCAUUGGAAACUGGCGGACUCGAGUGUGGGCAGAGGGGGUGGAAUUCCGCGUGUAGCAGUGAAAUGCGUAGAGAUGCGGAGGAACACCGAUGGCGAAGGCAGCCCCCUGGGCUAACACUGACGCUCAGGCACGAAAGCGUGGGGAGCAAACAGG